rnacentral:rRNA from 1 species
UACGUAGGGAGCAAGCGUUAUCCGGAUUUACUGGGUGUAAAGGGCGAGUAGGCGGGCUGGCAAGUUGGAAGUGAAAUCUCGGGGCUUAACCCCGAAACUGCUUUCAAAACUGCUGGUCUUGAGUGAUGGAGAGGCAGGCGGAAUUCCCAGUGUAGCGGUGAAAUGCGUAGAUAUUGGGAGGAACACCAGUGGCGAAGGCGGCCUGCUGGACAUUAACUGACGCUGAAGAGCGAAAGCGUGGGGAGCAAACAGG